rnacentral:rRNA from 1 species
GACGAACGCUGGCGGCGUGCUUAACACAUGCAAGUCGAACGGAAAGGCCCUGCUUUUGUGGGGUGCUCGAGUGGCGAACGGGUGAGUAACACGUGAGUAACCUGCCCUUGACUUUGGGAUAACUUCAGGAAACUGGGGCUAAUACCGGAUAGGAGCUCCUGCUGCAUGGUGGGGGUUGGAAAGUUUCGGCGGUUGGGGAUGGAUUCGCGGCUUAUCAGCUUGUUGGUGGGGUAGUGGCUUACCAAGGCUUUGACGGGUAGCCGGCCUGAGAGGGUGACCGGCCACAUUGGGACUGAGAUACGGCCAGGACUCCUACGGGAGGCAGCAGUGGGGAAUAUUGCACAAUGGGCGGAGGCCUGAUGCAGCAACGCCGCGUGCGGGAUGACGGCCUUCGGGUUGUAAACCGCUUUCGCCUGUGACGAAGCGUGAGUGACGGUAAUGGGUAAAGAAGCACCGGCUAACUACGU